rnacentral:lncRNA from 1 species
CCUCUCCCGACACAAUAACCAAAUGCCCCUCUACUACGAAUUUCAGUUUUUGGUGGAGUGUAGAGGGAACGACUCCCACCGAGUGGAUCCACGGGCGUCCCAAAAGACAGUUGUAAGCCGGGUUAAUAUCCAUUACUUGGAAGGUAACCUGAUAGGUAUGGGGGCCUAUCUGUACAGGGAGGUCGAUCUCUCCCCUCACCUCUCAGCGGCUGUCGUCGAAGGCACGGACCACCAUGGAACUUGGCUU